UAGGGGGUUUCCGCCCCUUAGUGCUGCAGCUAACGCAUUAAGCACUCCGCCUGGGGAGUACGGUCGCAAGACUGAAACUCAAAGGAAUUGACGGGGGCCCGCACAAGCGGUGGAGCAUGUGGUUUAAUUCGAAGCAACGCGAAGAACCUUACCAGGUCUUGACAUCCCGCUGACCGGCCUAGAGAUAGGCUUUUCCCUUCGGGGACAGCGGUGACAGGUGGUGCAUGGUUGUCGUCAGCUCGUGUCGUGAGAUGUUGGGUUAAGUCCCGCAACGAGCGCAACCCUUGAUCUUAGUUGCCAGCAUUUAGUUGGGCACUCUAAGGUGACUGCCGGUGAUAAACCGGAGGAAGGUGGGGAUGACGUCAAAUCAUCAUGCCCCUUAUGACCUGGGCUACACACGUGCUACAAUGGACGGUACAGAGGGUCGCAACCCCGCGAGGGUGAGCAAAUCCCAUAAAACCGUUCUCAGUUCGGAUUGUAGGCUGCAACUCGCCUACAUGAAGCCGGAAUCGCUAGUAAUCGUGGAUCAGCAUGCCACGGUGAAUACGUUCCCGGGCCUUGUACACACCGCCCGUCACACCACGAGAGUUUGUAACACCCGAAGUCGGUGGGGUAACCCUUACGGGAGCCAGCCGCCGAAG
rnacentral:rRNA from 1 species